rnacentral:rRNA from 1 species
GUCGCGUCUGCUGUGAAAUCCGGNNNNNNNNNCUCCGGCCUGCAGUGGGUACGGGCAGACUAGAGUGCGGUAGGGGAGAUUGGAAUUCCUGGUGUAGCGGUGGAAUGCGCAGAUAUCAGGAGGAACACCGAUGGCGAAGGCAGAUCUCUGGGCCGUAACUGACGCUGAGGAGCGAAAGGGUGGGGAGCAAACAGGCUUAGAUACCCUGGUAGUCCACCCCGUAAACGUUGGGAACUAGUUGUGGGGUCCAUUCCACGGAUUCCGUGACGCAGCUAACGCAUUAAGUUCCCCGCCUGGGGAGUACGGCCGCAAGGCUAAAACUCAAAGGAAUUGACGGGGACCCGCACAAGCGGCGGAGCAUGCGGAUUAAUUCGAUGCAACGCGAAGAACCUUACCAAGGCUUGACAUAUACGAGAACGGGCCAGAAAUGGUCAACUCUUUGGACACUCGUAAACAGGUGGUGCAUGGUUGUCGUCAGCUCGUGUCGUGAGAUGUUGGGUUAAGUCCCGCAACGAGCGCAACCCUCGUUCUAUGUUGCCAGCACGUAAUGGUGGGAACUCAUGGGAUACUGCCGGGGUCAACUCGGAGGAAGGUGGGGAUGACGUCAAAUCAUCAUGCCCCUUAUGUCUUGGGCUUCACGCAUGCUACAAUGGCCGGUACAAAGGGCUGCAAUACCGCGAGGUGGAGCGAAUCCCAAAAAGCCGGUCCCAGUUCGGAUUGAGGUCUGCAACUCGACCUCAUGAAGUCGGAGUCGCUAGUAAUCGCAGAUCAGCAACGCUGCGGUGAAUACGUUCCCGGGUCUUGUACACACCGCCCGUCAAGUCAUGAAAGUCGGUAACACCUGAAGCCGGUGGCCUAACCCU